rnacentral:rRNA from 1 species
GACGAACGCUGGCGGCGUGCUUAACACAUGCAAGUCGAACGGAAAGGCCCUGCUUGCAGGGUACUCGAGUGGCGAACGGGUGAGUAACACGUGGGUGAUCUGCCCUGCACUUCGGGAUAAGCCUGGGAAACUGGGUCUAAUACCGGAUAGGAGCCAUUUUUAGUGUGAUGGUUGGAAAGUUUUUUCGGUGUAGGAUGAGCUCGCGGCCUAUCAGCUUGUUGGUGGGGUAAUGGCCUACCAAGGCGGCGACGGGUAGCCGGCCUGAGAGGGUGGACGGCCACAUUGGGACUGAGAUACGGCCCAGACUCCUACGGGAGGCAGCAGUGGGGAAUAUUGCACAAUGGGCGCAAGCCUAAUGCAGCGACGCCGCGUGGGGGAUGACGGCCUUCGGGUUGUAAACUCCUUUCGCUAGGGACGAAGCUUUUUGUGACGGUACCUAGAUAAGAAGCACCGGCUAACUACGUG